rnacentral:rRNA from 1 species
GUUCGUUACGGACGUUUGAAAAAUGUGGCGUUUAGGAAGUCGCGUGCCGGAGUCGGACUCUGCAGCAAGUCCCCCUGACCGGGGCUGUUACCCAGAGCGGGUGCGAGGCCCAUAGUUGCUAAGUCCGCUACGGAUGCGACCUCUUGGGAGUCGGGUUGCUUGGGAGUGCAGCCCUAAUUGGGUGGUAAACUCCACCUAAGACUAAAUACGGCCGUGAGACCGAUAGCAAACAAGUACCGUGAGGGAAAGUUGCAAAGAACUUUGAAGAGAGAGUUCAAGAGUACGUGAAACUGCUCAGAGGCAAACGGGUGGGCCCUCGAAAUCCUCUGGCGGGGGGAUUCAGUUAGGAAAGGCGGAGGUGUGGUUCGGUUCCAACGGACCCUACCCGGGGCCGGGCCGGCUACACGGUCUCCGUUUUACCUGACGCAUUUCCUCCCGCACUAAGGACGCCGCAGCCGGUUGGGUAGCUGCGUGAGUCGGCCAUGAGGACGGGUACCGGCAGGUGGCCGGUGGCGUUGCUCUUCGCCGCCGGUUGUUAGCCAAUCCGUCCGUGGCGCGACACCCGACCGAGGUUGAAUGGUUCCCGUAUGGGAACUCGCCGUCCCCUGUGCAGUGGGCGCUGGCAGGCGUAUCGCGGUGUUGCCACGUCACUCUCGUAGUGGCCGGUGCUCCGAGGUCGCUGUUGGGGUGCAGCGGCUAGCGGCGAGUAGGUCGGUCACCCACCCGACCCGUCUUGAAACACGGACCAAGGAGUCUAACAUGUGCGCGAGUCACGGGGUCUUGAUUAGGCCCAGAGGCGCAAUGAAAGUGAAGGUCGACCCGACGUCGGCUGUGUUGGGAUUUUCCGUCCCUCGGGGCGGGGAAGCACCAACGACCCGUCCUAUCCGAUUUAUCGGUUGGGCGGAGUCUGAGCGUACACGUUGGGACCCGAAAGAUGGUGAACUAUGCCUGGGCAGGACGAAGCCAGAGGAAAC